CCGUGCUGCCCAGUGCCCUCCCCUGCCCUCGGGUCUGAGCACCUGGCACCGGUGGACCCACACACUCCCCGCGGGAGAACAGAGAGGCCGCCUCACCUGCCACCCCCUCUGCGGCUCCAAGCCGGGGCUUAGAGCAAAGCCCUCACAGCCCUGUCACCUACACUUCUCGGGCGUGUUUUUCUCAGUGACGUGUGGGCGGUGUGCAUGGAGUGGCCUGGAGAGAGUAGCAACACACUCAGACGCUUCCUGAACAGGGCUUGAGCACCCCUGAGAGGACAAGAAUGUGUGGAAGACCAGAGGGGAGACAUGGAACCACCCAGAGAUGGCACCUCCUCCAGGAAGCCCUCCUGAUCCUGGCAAUGCCAGAACCAUUUCGUGGGACCCACAGAUCCUGUGCUAUACCCACCGCAGCACAGUUGACUCUGGAUAUCUGACUCCCCCUUUUCCUGAUUCCUAGUGCUGGACUCCCCCCCCCCCCCUUGAGGCCGGAGUUCAAUGAGCACCUGGUGGAGAGAAGGAACAGCAGGAGUGGGCAGCCACACCCAGUGUUGGGAGGAUUCCAAGCCUCGGGCAAUGUAAAAGGCACUCCCUUCUCUAACCAGAAUUGGCCCGGAAAUGAAUAAAUCCCCAUAAAAAAAUCAUGGCACAGUUCCUGUGUUUCACAGUCAACAUGCCUAAAGAUAGUCAUGCACAGCAAAACUGAAAUGAAACAUUCUCUGCUGGCGCUGAGACAUAGUUUCUUGGACCCCCAUCCUGCCUCAGAACAUUCGGAGAAAAUGUGGGUUGGGAGAAGAUUUCAGGGCCCUCCUUGAUCACCCUAGCCACCUGUUUUAAGGUUUGGGGUACAGCAGUCAACAGUUAAUCCUUUGCUGCCACCGUGUGGCCAAGAUGUUGGCUGCCCCCAGGCCUGCAUUCCUUCCUGGGCAACCCUCGUCCUUGACAGCAAGCAUCCACAGUAGCACCCCUUCCUCCUUCCUCAACUGCUCGCUGUGCAGGAGGGGGCAGGAAAACCAUGCAGGGGAAGUCUGUGCUAGGUAUGAGUGCUCCCCCAAGCUGAACUCAUAAGGCCUGGCCCAUAUUUGGCUUAGACCUGUCCAACUGCCCUGGCAUCUGUGACCUCGAAGGAGUGCCCUCUUUUCCCAUUUUGGGCUCUCACACCCCUCUGAACACGACUCCCAAGAACUAGUGCUGGCCUUUUCCUCCAACCCGAAGAGAUCAUCUGAGUGUCAGCAGGGGAAUCUUUCUCACCACAGUAUGAUCAUAUCAUUCUGCAGCUUUAAAACACUCCUGGCUCCCCAUUGCCAGACUUUUGCCUGGAGUUUGAGAA